GGAGAUGACUAGAAACGAUUCGGUUGACCGUUUUAUGUGUGGAUUAAUUGUCGAAGUAGAGGAGCUUGUGCAUUUCAGGACAAGCUCCCCUUCUGAGAGGCGGUUGUGGGCCUCAUUUGAGAGGUGUGGGGGAACGUGGUAGAGGAAAAGGCCACGGACCAAGACAGCAGCAACAACAGCAAAGAGUGUCCAAUGAAAUCCGAGCAAUAGUUGUAGACCAUGUCGUAAAUCAUGGCAGGACAAUGAUUCAACCAAACCUCAGAAGAUCAACCAUGGCCUCAAUCAUCAGAACUUUCUGCAAUGAGAACCGAAUUGAGACUAGGCCAAAUAGGGGAGGCAGAGGCAAAAUUCUGACUGACCAACAAGAGCGGGCUGUGGUCAAUUUGGUUCGGGCCAGAAAUGAUAUUCGCCUUACAGAAAUUCAGCAGCACAUCUUGGACAAUGAAAACAUGUUCAAC
rnacentral:lncRNA from 1 species